rnacentral:rRNA from 1 species
UACAGAGGGUGCAAGCGUUAAUCGGAGUUACUGGGCGUAAAGGGCGCGUAGGCGGUCAUGCAAGUGAGAUGUGAAAUCCCCGGGCUUAACCUGGGAACUGCAUUUUAGACUGUGUGACUGGAGUACUGUAGAGGAUAGUGGAAUUUCCGGUGUAGCGGUGAAAUUGCGUAGAUAUCUGGAGGAACACCUGCGGUGUAGACGGCUUUCUGGACCAUUGCUGACGCUGAGACACGAAAGCGUGGGUAGCAAACAGG